CUCACACAACUCAUCAUCAUUCAGCUCUCCCCAUCUCGCCCACCAGCCCGGUCGUCGUCAAGCUCUCUCCAUCAUGCCCACGAGCCCCAGUCGUCAUCGGCACAUAGCUAUUCAAUUUUUCUGCCCUCUCUCUCUGCGGAGAAAAAAAAAAAAAAAAUUUAUUACCUUUGUCGAAACACUCUUUGUUCAAGAUCGUCGCUGUCCUCAGUCCUCUCGUCGUUGCUUUGCCUCCUUCAGACACCGGCUUUCUCUACUUCCCCAAGUAUAUGGUGCAACCUGAUAUUAUCAUUGUUUUCAAUAUUUGCUUUUCAUUGGUUACGCAAUGGACACAACCGAUGUUAUAUGCUCCACAAUAUUUAUCACAACACGAAAACAGAGUGUCUUACAACCAAAACUGGUGUCAUAGGUGGAGGGUGCUUGUCGUUGGAUCUAUGCCUCAUGUGACUGGUAGAGCUGAUCCUAGAUAAAAAUACAUGUGCAGAUUACUUUGAAGAAUCAUCACAUCUUAGCCAAGAUAAUGUUGAUGAUCAUUUCAUCAAGAAUGCUUGUGCAUAUUUAUUCCAACUUCGAUGUUAGAUUUUCAAUUAAUGUUUCUAAAUUGAACCAAUACUUCUGUUAUGUAGAUUCACUCCCGCAAUGAUUCAUUUUGUGGCAAAUUUGAGAUAGGACAUACAACUUCAGUAGCCUCUACUCAUUGAAAAAAUUCAACAUCAAUCCGAGACCCUUUACAAUGGUUCAUCAGUAUUACAAAAGAAUUCAUCUGCAUAUUUAGUAGAGACAUCAGAGAGCAAUUUUUCUCCUCACACUCACAGCAUACAAAUACACAUAUAUACACAUUUUCUCCUUACACUUUGUUCACCAUAUUAAAUAAAAUAAGAUAACAUAUUGAAUUUUUAUCAUUUACAAUAGAAAAUCAACAAGAAUGUCUGACCCUUGAUGUUCUGUCCACAACCUUCAUUCAAAAUGGCUUAGCAUCCAUAACCUGAAAAAAAAAAAAAAAAACUCUAGAUAUGCAAAAGUCAGCCUAUCAAUUUCAAUUUCAAUACCAAUUAUACAAAUAUCACAUAUGCAGAAGGCAAUCUAUUGAGACUAACCCCAAAUUUAGGAUUAAGAUUGCUUUACAUCAAUUACUAGUUAAUGUAAGAAAUAAAGUGCACAUCACUAAAUUUUUCUUACCUUGGCACUUGAAUAUAUUUCAACACAUAAGAAUUUAGAUCUAAAAGUCUAUAACAUCUUCAAAAUUUUCCAAGUCCCCAAGAGAGAUUUUCCAAAAGAGAAGCUAGAAUUCCAGAUUAAUAAUCUUAAUAAAGAGUCUAUGUACUAGUAUUUGUAUUUCAUUCUGAUACAUCCAAUGCGAUACACAUAGCCAACUGUAGUUUUAGGCAGAUCAAGUUUCACUACCCGGAAAGAGUAAUAUCAAACAUAUGAGGUAUAUUUGUCAAUUAUAUAACUAGUAAUCAAUAAAUCAUAGACUAAUGAUGCUUAUGAAAGAAACAGUUUUUAAAUUAAUAAUAAUUGCACUUACAAAUC